GCCUUCGUGGUGUAGUGGUCAGCACGCUCGACGCGUAACCGAGAGGUCCGUGGUUCCAUUCCCGGCGAAGCCG
rnacentral:tRNA from 1 species